GAUGAACGCUGGCGGCGUGCUUAAUACAUGCAAGUCGAACGAGAGUACCUUGUAGCAAUACGGGGCGCUCUAGUGGCGAAUGGGUGCGUAACACGUAGGUGACCUGCCCCGAAGUGUGGAAUAACAGUUCGAAGGACUGCUAAUACCGCAUGUGGUCCUGGAGGUUAGAGGCUCCGGUCUAAAGCUGCUCGCAAGAGUGGCGCUUCGGGAGGGGCC
rnacentral:rRNA from 1 species